GAUGAACGCUGGCGGCGUGCCUAAUACAUGCAAGUCGAGCGAACAGACGAGGAGCUUGCUCCUCUGACGUUAGCGGCGGACGGGUGAGUAACACGUGGAUAACCUACCUAUAAGACUGGGAUAACUUCGGGAAACCGGAGCUAAUACCGGAUAAUAUAUUGAACCGCAUGGUUCAAUAGUGAAAGACGGUUUUGCUGUCACUUAUAGAUGGAUCCGCGCCGCAUUAGCUAGUUGGUAAGGUAACGGCUUACCAAGGCAACGAUGCGUAGCCGACCUGAGAGGGUGGUCGGCCACCCUGGAACUGAAACACGGUCCAGACUCCUACGGGAGGCAGCAGUAGGGAAUCUUCCGCAAUGGGCGAAAGCCUGACGGAGCAACGCCGCGUGAGUGAUGAAGGUCUUCGGAUCGUAAAACUCUGUUAUUAGGGAAGAACAAAUGUGUAAGUAACUAUGCACGUCUUGACGGUACCUAAUCAGAAAGCCACGGCUAACUACGUG
rnacentral:rRNA from 1 species